rnacentral:rRNA from 1 species
ACAAGUAGUCAGAGCCCGUUAAUGGGUGAUGGCGUGCCUUUUGUAGAAUGAACCGGCGAGUUACGAUUUGAUGCAAGGUUAAGCAGUAAAUGUGGAGCCGUAGCGAAAGCGAGUCUGAAUAGGGCGUUUAGUAUUUGGUCGUAGACCCGAAACCAGGUGAUCUACCCUUGGUCAGGUUGAAGUUCAGGUAACACUGAAUGGAGGACCGAACCGACUUACGUUGAAAAGUGAGCGGAUGAACUGAGGGUAGCGGAGAAAUUCCAAUCGAACCUGGAGAUAGCUGGUUCUCUCCGAAAUAGCUUUAGGGCUAGCCUCAAGUGAUGAUUAUUGGAGGUAGAGCACUGUUUGGACGAGGGGCCCCUCUCGGGUUACCGAAUUCAGACAAACUCCGAAUGCCAAUUAAUUUAACUUGGGAGUCAGAACAUGGGUGAUAAGGUCCGUGUUCGAAAGGGAAACAGCCCAGACCACCAGCUAAGGUCCCAAAAUAUAUGUUAAGUGGAAAAGGAUGUGGCGUUGCCCAGACAACUAGGAUGUUGGCUUAGAAGCAGCCAUCAUUUAAAGAGUGCGUAAUAGCUCACUAGUCGAGUGACACUGCGCCGAAAAUGUACCGGGGCUAAACAUAUUACCGAAGCUGUGGAUUGUCCUUUGGACAAUGGUAGGAGAGCGUUCUAAGGGCGUUGAAGCAUGAUCGUAAGGACAUGUGGAGCG